rnacentral:lncRNA from 10 species
GUCAUCUUGGGUGACCUGAGGUAGCCACAUGAAAUGGCCAGAUUUGACAUCAUCCCUCUUCUGUGCCAGAAGGAACAAUUAGUCCUUCCAUAAAUAGAUCAAUAUUUGCUCAUGCUGUAGACUAUGGAAUCCAACCUGUAGUAUCCUUUCUGCAUGUUGGCACCAAGCCCACCUCAUGAAACCAGCAAUGGGCAUUUUUCUAAUUCUACUUUCAAAGGUCCCAUUAUGGGUAAUAGAAAAGAACAUGAAAAAGUCUAUACCUUUUUUUUUCUCCUGCCAUUUUCCAAAAGUUCAUCUUCAAAAGGUCCCCUUCCUGGGAGGAUUCCUU